UGCAUCAUCGAAUCUUUGAACGCACAUUGCGCCCUCUGGUAUUCCGGGGGGCAUGCCUGUUCGAGCGUCAUUAUAACCACUCAAGCUCACGCUUGGUAUUGGGGUUCGCGGUCUCGCGGCCCCUAAAAUCAGUGGCGGUGCCUGUCGGCUCUACGCGUAGUAAUACUCCUCGCGAUUGAGUCCGGUAGGUUUACUUGCCAUCAACCCCCAAUUUUUUACAGGUUGACCUCGGAUCAGGUAGGGAUACCCGCUGAACUUAAGCAUAUCAAUAAGCGGAGGAAAAGAAACCAACAGGGAUUACCUCAGUAACGGCGAGUGAAGCGGUAACAGCUCAAAUUUGAAAGCUAGCUCUUUUAGGGUUCGCAUUGUAAUUUGUAGAAGAUGCUUCGGGUGUGGCCCCGGUCUAAGUUCCUUGGAACAGGACGUCAUAGAGGGUGAGAAUCCCGUAUGUGACUGGGUGCUUUCGCUCAUGUGAAGCUCUUUCGACGAGUCGAGUUGUUUGGGAAUGCAGCUCAAAAUGGGUGGUAAAUUUCAUCUAAAGCUAAAUAUUGGCCAGAGACCGAUAGCGCACAAGUAGAGUGAUCGAAAGAUGAAAAGCACUUUGGAAAGAGAGUUAAACAGUACGUGAAAUUGUUGAAAGGGAAGCGCUUGCAACCAGACUUGCGCGCUGAUGAUCAUCCGGGCUUCUGUCCGGUGCACUCGUCUGCGCUCAGGCCAGCAUCGGUUUUGGUGGUGGGAUAAAGGCCUUGGGAAUGUAGCUCCUCUCGGGGAGUGUUAUAGCCCUCGGUGCAAUGCCGCCUACC
rnacentral:rRNA from 1 species